rnacentral:rRNA from 1 species
CUACGGGUGGCUGCAGUCGGGAAAAUUUUGCAAUGCACGCAAGUGUGACAAAGCAAGCCACAGUGCUUUUCUAUAAUUGAAAAGCUUUUAUGAGAUGUAAAAAGUCUCAUGAAUAAGGACCGGGCAAGACUGGUGCCAGCCGCCGCGGUAAUCCCAGCGGUCCAAGUCGCAGCCACAUUUGUUGGGUCUAAAACAUCCGUAGCUUGCUCUGUAAGUCUUUGGUGAAAUCUGGCCUCUUAAGGGUCGGGCGAGCCUAAGAUACUGCAAAGCUAGAGACCGGGAGGCGUAAUGAGUACGAUAAGAGUAGCGGUUAAAUGCGUUGAUCCUUAUUGGACUAACAGUCGCGAAGGCGCGUUACGAGCACGGUUCUGACAGUGAGGGAUGAAGGCUAGGGGCGCAAAGUGGAUUAGAUACCCUGGUAGUC